rnacentral:rRNA from 1 species
UUGUAUGGCCAAACCUCUUUCUCAAAGCCUAAUCUCAUCAGACCUCAGAAGAUAAGGAGGACUGGGCCUGGUUAGUACUUGGAUGAGAGACAGUUGGGAAUGCCAGGUGCCACAGU